GCCAUCCCGCAGGUCCCGGUUCGCCCUCAAUUGGCAGAUCGAUGCUCGACCUGAUCUGCCUCCGCCGUGGAUGCACAAGUUCGUCCUCGUCACUGUUUUCUCAAGUCGCACCGCGCCCUUCUUUUGACACGUUCAGAAGCAGUGGCACAGUGAUCUAGCGCCUGAUGGGCCUUGACCCAGUCCUCCGACGCAGCCCAUCUCCCCGUGCGCCCAGCUCCUAUCCGCCGCCGCUUGCAGGCCAGCAUUUGCUUCUUCCCGGAUAGAAUCGCGAAGUGGUGUGGUGAGAUACG